AAAGGAGCUGUCCUGGAGAGCUGACAUCGCUCACCCAUGCCCCUGCAAAGCUCUCUACCUACGCUUCCCCACUUUGCUUUUUCCAGCAAUUCAGACAAGCAAUCUCAUAAAGUGUUGGGGCUGCCUUUAGGUUGUAGUUAAAAAUUUCCAGCAGAUUGGUCACACAUCCUAUGAUAAACAAUAGCCUCCUAUGAGCUGUGAUAUCUUACGUUUGCAAGCCAGUGUGUGCAUGUGUGUGGAAAAAAAUCACCGGUUAUGCUGAGCAACGCUGCCCGACCACAGGGCCAUUUCUGCAGAAUUCUCUUUCCUGGGGCCAUCCCCCUUCAGGCUUUCUUGCUGAACCUGAAGCAAGCCCCAGCGAUCUUCCUCUCUGUCUUCCUCCUACAGUGCUGGGAUUAUAGAUCCACACUGACAAGCCUGCUUAGACCAGUGCUCCUAAGUGUUCCUGUCUUGAUGGAUUAGCUUGGCCAGGACAAGUUUACACAUCACUGGAGAAGUGUGAAGAGGGAGUGCGGAUGGAAAAAAAAUAGAGACACAAGAAGAGGUUUAUAAUGUUUGAAAUUAGGCAGCCCAGCCCGGAACUUUCCAUAAAAACUUUCUCCUGGCUCCUCCUCUUUCCUCCCUUUUAUUGCCAGAGUAUCUGAAUGGGCAAGCCUGCCUUGCUGUUUCCAUUACUCAAAC
rnacentral:lncRNA from 1 species